CGUUGUUUACAAGCUGAAAUGAGCGGGACACGUGGAGGCUGUCUCUGAAUAAGACGUGUUGAAAUUGUCAAUUUUGAUUCAUAGAUAUGAGCCUGAUGACUGACGGGCCUGGAACGUACUGAGUUUGGGCGAGAAUUGUUGUGUAGCAUGAACAUCAUUCAGGGGCGAGGUGCCAUGGUGUUGAAUAAAACUGAACCUACAUGAAAACGGCUGCAUAUUAUUCUACCCAUGGUGUAAUGUGAGCCAGUCCCGGAUUGAUGCAAGUCUACUGUUACACCGACUACAUGGCAUUUAUUGGUAUGAAAUUCCAUUUUCCAUGUACAACUCCACGUGACUAAGUUCUCGAUGUUGUUGCACGUCACUUGAAGAAUGCAGAAAACUCCACGAUGAGCACCAUACUUUAUUCAGUACCUCAGUAAGAUUCAAUAUGCAAGGU